rnacentral:lncRNA from 1 species
CUAUCCAAAAAAUUAAAAUUAAAUAAAAAUGAAACAGAGUCUAAAAUUAGGGGCGGCGAACUGGAACCAUCUCUUGGGAAGUAGCAAGGGCAGAUUAAGGAGUUAUUAACAGUAUUUGGAAUUCAUGUAAAUACUUUUUGUUCUCUAAAUUCAUCCGCCGGUGUUUAUCUCUUCGAGGAAUUACCCUAUUGUUCUUUUUAAUUUCCAGAGAACGCAUAGCUCAGAGGAGUCCUGCUUCAAUACUCGUGGCUGUUCUUGAUCUUCAAGAUGGUUACACUUCAAAACAAGGUAAUUUUCAUUUCUUUCGUUUGUUUUUUGUUUACUUUAGAUAAGUUAUUAAUCGUUUAGAAUUUUUUACUUAUUCUGAUCCCUUUUUGUUCCUUUGGUAAUGAAUGACGAUGGAUAAAGAGUGAGAAAAAGAAGAUUGGGCUUUCUUAUGCAAUAAAAAUUAAAUCAUCACAGUUUAUUGCUGCAUUUACAGAGUUACAAAAUCACCUGCAAGUAUGCUUUUGAAAACGUAUGGAAGGAUGUUAUUACAACUCUGUGUAAUAGUCAACAACGUUGGUGUGUUUCUUGUUGUUAUCGCUACAUCUUCGAUUGAAUUGAGCCAUCUAUUCAUUUUUCUUCUAUCAUAUUGUUAAUCCAUAUUGAUCCACGAGGUUUUUAUCAAUUGCUUCUCUAAAUUAUGUCAACUGAAGGUGAUGUGUUUUCCAGAAUUACUUCAAGUGAAAUUCAUGAUGUUGGUGUUCUUGAAGCUUCAUUUCGACAACAUUGGUUGAUAACAAAUUGGAUAGUUCCUUUGAAUUCAAAAAAUAUAUGGAAGUUAUUACUUGGAUGUCUUAAUUAUUAAGUUGAGCACACUUAAUGAAUGUUAAAUCUUGUUGCCAUAUUUAAAUAAGCAGAAUCUGUAAAUUGAUUGGUUGAAGUUGUCUGAUAUGCUUACUAACCAUGUAAUAAGAAGUUCGUCAUCCAAGCUGGUGAUGUUGAUAGAC